rnacentral:rRNA from 1 species
GAUGAACGCUGGCGGCGUGCCUAAUACAUGCAAGUCGAGCGAACGGACGAGAAGCUUGCUUCUCUGAUGUUAGCGGCGGACGGGGGAGUAACACGUGGAUAACCUACCUAUAAGACUGGGAUAACUUCGGGAAACCGGAGCUAAUACCGGAUGAUAUUUUGAACCGCAUGGUUCAAAAGUGAAAGACGGUCUUGCUGUCACUUAUAGAUGGAUCCGCGCUGCAUUAGCUAGUUGGUAAGGUAACGGCUUACCAAGGCAACGAUGCAUAGCCGACCUGAGAGGGUGAUCGGCCACACUGGAACUGAGACACGGUCCAGACUCCUACGGGAGGCAGCAGUAGGGAAUCUUCCGCAAUGGGCGAAAGCCUGACGGAGCAACGCCGCGUGAGUGAUGAAGGUCUUCGGAUCGUAAAACUCUGUUAUUAGGGAAGAACAUAUGUGUAAGUAACUGUGCACAUCUUGACGGUACCUAAUCAGAAAGCCACGGCUAACUACGUG